UUCAUAUUCCAAGAACAAAGAAAUAUAUUUAUACGUUCUAAGGAUAUUAAUGUUUUGGAUCUUGGAAGUGGUUGCGGUGCUACGGCUAUAGCAACGAAACUCCUUGGUAUUCGUAAUGUUGUGGCAAAUGACAUUGAUAAAGGUUUGUCAAAUUAUCUUUUCAAUAUAUUUAUAGAUAUAUAUGAGAGAUUCGCUGAAUAUCCACUUUAUUGAUUCCUUGCUCACGCAUUACGUGAAAACGUUGUGGUAGUAAGACAGAGAGAGAGAGGAGAGAGGGAGAGGAGAAAGGGAGAGAGAAGAAUUAACCGAAUAACAUUAUCCAAGAAUUUUGGUAUACAUUCAAAUACAUUUGGCAAAGUGGAUCGAAGCGAUCUAAAAAGUUUUCUAUUGAGAAUUGUAUCAGGCAUUUAAUGUUAAACGUUAUCUCGUUAUUUGUUACGCAUUUACGUAAAAGGGGAAAACGGAUAUUUAAAUUAUUAAGAAAUUCAGCAUCAAUUCGAGACAAACGAGUCUGUGGAUGGUUCGAUGGAAAUAUCUAUUACAAAUACUUGAUCGACGUCAGCAAAUGAAAGUGUGCUUAAAUUCUCUGUUAAAUGCAAUAUAAUGUAUAUCUUUUACAUAUAUCUACUAUAUUUAUAUGUGAUACGUACACAAAUUGCAUGUAUUUGAUACGUGUAUACACUCAGAAGGAUGAACGAGCGUAUCUGCUGUAAAACUGACGUCUCCGAUCAGGCAUAGAGACAGAUAAUAAAGAAUUCCUCAAGGAAUGAUUCACAAUCAACGUGGCUAUAUUGCGAGUUGUUCUCAACCGAGCCUGUGUUGCACGAUUUUUCGGAAGUUCAUUUGUUUUCUUUUAUUUGACUAAGAGAGACUAUGUUUCAUAAGAAUUUACUUUCCUUAUAGAAGCUUCCUUAUCCCGAGAUGAACAAUCAUUUUCUCUAGAUUCCAUGAGAGAUUUUCGUUUUAAGAUUUCGCCUACAUACGCUAAGAUUCUUGGAUCGACCGGUUGCGCACCACAUUAUUGGGCUUUCCCCCAUUUAACGAGAGGCCAGAAGACAGAGUCUCGUGCGUCAGUGAAAGCGUCAGCUGGUCCAUUCUCGUUGCCUGUAUAGCCACCCUCAUGAAUGCUACAUUAAAUGACGUGGAUGUUCAAGUAUCGUGGAAAAAUCUAUUGAAUGAACCACUUAAAGAGACAUACGACAUUAUUUUUAUCGGAGAUCUACUUUACGAAGAAGAAUUGGCCGAAACUUUAAUUCCGUGGCUGCUGGAUGCAUCCAAGAAAGGAACACGAAUAUUUCUUGGCGAUCCCGGAAGGCACGGCCUUACAAUUUCAAGAAGUUGAAUUUCACAAUUUCGUCCAACGUAGCCGAAGAGGCAAUCACAGUGUACCGCUUUCGCCCCGAGAUGUCUAUAACGUAUGUACAAGUCCUUUAAUAUGUACAAAGAUGAUUUGCAUUUUUAUAUGUAUAUACAUGUAAUAUAUACAUAUAUAUAAUAAUAUAUAUAUUUUUUUCUUUUUCACUCAUACUUGCAAUUGCCACCAUUUUGACAAAUAGAGUUUUGUUGCUCGUCAAAACAAAGCGGUCCUUCGUCACAUUUUUCUCCAUUAAAGCCAGAAAAGCAUUCGCAUGUAAAAGUUCUGUGAUUAGAAAAACAACGACAAUGAAAUACAUAGAUAAAAUAUUUCUAUUUAUUUUGAAAAAUAUUGAAAAUAAGAUUAAGUGAACGUACGUA